rnacentral:rRNA from 1 species
GACGAACGCUGGCGGCGUGCUUAACACAUGCAAGUCGAGCGGAAAGGCUCCUUCGGGGGUACUCGAGCGGCGAACGGGUGAGUAACACGUGAGUAAUCUGCCCUGUGCUCUGGGAUAGCCACCGGAAACGGUGAUUAAUACCGGAUACAACCACUAUAGGCAUCUGUUGGUGGUGGAAAGUUUUUUCGGCAUGGGAUGUGCUCGCGGCCUAUCAGCUUGUUGGUGAGGUAAUGGCUCACCAAGGCUUUGACGGGUAGCCGGCCUGAGAGGGUGACCGGUCACACUGGGACUGAGACACGGCCCAGACUCCUACGGGAGGCAGGAGUGGGGGAUAGUGGACAAUGGGCGGAGGCCUGAUCCAGCAACGCCGCGUGAGGGAUGACGGCAUUCGGGUUGUAAACCUCUUUCAGUACCGACGAAGCGAAAGUGACGGUAGGUACAGAAGAAGGACCGGCCAACUACGUGCCAGCCGCCGCGGUAAAAC